AUGGUGGAGCUCAGUGUUCAGGCAGGAGUCAGCUGUGUUCAUACAGCCUUCAUUGCUGUGAAUAAAGACAGCAGACAGACUGUGAAAGGACCCCUGCUGCAGAGAAGAGUGCCAACAUACGAUUCCUCUUCAGAAAUUGACAUGAUGCAAGUAAAUUAUGAUCACAUAGCACCCCGCGAGUUUCGUUUAUCAUCAUCAAGGCAUUGCGUUGCAGAUGAACAAUCAUUUCACUGCUCAAAGAUGAUGUCGUUCACAGAGCGAGCAGUCCUCAAAAUGUCUAAUCGGGUAACAGCAGUGACUGCACCCGAACAGAAGAUCGGAUUCAUGACAAGUAACGCAAUGAAUACACAGCGUCACUAA
rnacentral:lncRNA from 1 species